GAUUGCGGCGACGUGGGCGGUUCGCUGCCCGCGACGUUGUGAGAAGUCCACUGAACCUUACCAUUUAGAGGAAGGAGAAGUCGUAACAAGGUUUCCGUAGGUGAACCUGCGGAAGGAUCAUUG
rnacentral:rRNA from 1 species